UAAUAUUUAUUGAAUUUUCUAAAUAGUCGUCUGUCACAUUAAUCUCAAUCGGAAGAAGUGCAGCUCCCGCCCCCUUUGCCGUCCAUCUCUGAAAUAAGCUCCUGGCCCCUUUGCCGUCGAUCUCCCCGCCGCGCGCUUCGAUCUCCGCCGUCUUCCCUGCCACCCGCUCCGAUAUCCGCCGUCUAUCUCUGCAUCUUCUCCCCAUCGUCGCCUUCAGUUGCUGUUGCCAUUGCUGGAACAAUGAUCUGAAGACCGAUCAUUCAACCGAUUGAAAGCUCUUACUGCUAGAAUACACAAUCGAUCAAGUAGCUUUCUCCUCUUCAAUUCAAGCCAGGUUUCACGGAAGAAGAGCUUGCUUGGCAAACUUCUUUGGUCUGCUACUGAUGCUAAAGAGCUCCAGCAAAAGGAAUUUGAAGGGCAUGCUCUUAACAAACUUGUGGGAAUGGCCUAUGAGAAGUACAUGAGUUGCUGUGGACCUAACGGACCUAUAAUUAGGAUACUUAAUUCUUAAUUGUGAGAUACUGCAGUUUCAAGUCUUGUCCUGUGCCCGUUUGCCAAUUGCUAGCUGCUGUGUCAUCGUCGUCGUGACCUUACAUCAUUGUGUCCAGGUUAGUGUUUUAAAACUGGCUUGUAUAUUAAACUGCCAGUGGGGGAGAGGCAGAGAUGCAUGUGUAUUUAUUUGAAACUGCCGGUGGGGGAGAGGCAGAGAUGCAUGUGUAUUUAUUUGAAAUUGCCGGUGGGGGAGAGGCAAAGAUGCAUAUCUAUUUAUUUGAAAUUGCCGGUGGGGGAGAGGAAAAUAUGCAUAUCUAUUUAUUUGAAAUUGCCGGUGGGGGAGAGGCAGAGAGAGGCUACUCUACAGGCUACUCUACAGGCUGAGGUGCAGGAGCGACGACGAAAAGAAGCAGAAAUGGAGACUAGGCAGUUGGAAAUGCAACAACAGAUUUCUCAGCUUAUGAAAUUCUUCCAAUCAUCCUCAGGGUCGUUCCCCCGUUCCUCGUCUCCACCCUAGAUACAUGUUUUGUACUUAUUAUAUAUUGUUAUCAGAUUUUUAUUUAGAUGUUUAUGAAUUUAUUACACUAA